rnacentral:rRNA from 1 species
UACAGAGGGGGCAAGCGUUGUUCGGAAUUACUGGGCGUAAAGGGCGCGUAGGCGGCCCGCUAAGUCGAACGUGAAAUCCCUGGGCUCAACCCAGGAACUGCGUCCGAUACUGGCGGGCUUGAAUCCGGGAGAGGGAUGUGGGAUUCCAGGUGUAGCGGUGAAAUGCGUAGAUAUCUGGAGGAACACCGGUGGCGAAGGCGGCAUCCUGGACCGGUAUUGACGCUGAUGCGCGAAAGCCAGGGGAGCAAACGGG